rnacentral:rRNA from 1 species
CACGGCCUCACAUAUGCAAGUCGCACGGUCACAGGCCGCAGCUUGCUGCUUCGCUGCCUCGUGGCGGCCGGGUGCGUCAUGUCUGGGCACAUGCCUGCUGGCGGGGGCUCACUCCUGGCAACGGUAGCUCAUCCCGCAUCACGUCGCAAUCCCAAAGUGGGGGCCCUUCGGGCCUCAUGCCAUCAUCUGUGCCCAUCUGGGCUUAGCUAGUCGGUGCGGUCAUGGCUCACCUAGGCUCCUCUCCCUAGCUGGUCUGAUCAGAUGCCCAGCCACACUGGAACUGAGCCACGGUCCAUCAUCCUACGGGAGGCAGCAGUGGGGAAUAUUGCACAAUGGGCGCAAGCCUGAUGCAGCCAUGCCGCGUGUAUGAAGAAGGCCUUCGGGUUGUAAAGUACUUUCAGCGAGGAGGAAGGCAUUAAGGUUAAUAACCUUAGUGAUUGACGUUACUCGCAGAAGAAGCACCGGCUAACUCCGUGCCAGCAGCCGCGGUAAU